UAGAUUCUCCUCAACCAUGAUGAAUAAUGCCUGGGAGAGGGGAAGAAGUAAUGGAAGCCUGCACGGGUGGCCCCAAGGCAGGCAGUCCUUGGACUCCCUGGACUGCGGCUGUCCUUGACCUCACUGCUGGGGCAUGUAAAAGGAACGACUCAGAGUCUAACAGGCCACAGAGGGAUGUUGGAUUCUGGUGUUGGAGGACCAAGUAUUAGGAUAGUUCUUAACUGGCAAAACUGUCCUAAAAUGACUGGACUCUGAUGCAGCUGCCUUGGGAGAAGUGGGAGAAAUAACAGUCCCACUUCAGCGAUCUGCAAACUAAGGAGCUAGCAAGUUUGAUGUCCUUCUUCUGUUCCCUAUUCUAGGUCUGGGCUUGAUGUUCACCGAUUUUCCCUCAGCUCCGACUGUGGCUCCUCUCAGCUGACUCUGACCCUGCUCUCAGCCGGGCUGCAUCUGCCCAUCUCAGGACAUCAAUAAACAGCAGAGGGAAACUACCACCUUGGAAGGAGCCAGGCAGUUUCUGCUGGGUAGGCCGCAGCCUGGAACAUGGAAGUAGCUUCUUCCAUCCUACACUGGAAACCACCCAGCAUCCCGGGCCCUCCAGAGAAGAGCCAGACUCCCUUCCCUGGGAAGAGACUAUAGUCCUAUCUGUAUCCUCCGUGGUCAUUGCCCCUCAGUCACAGCAAUGAAGAGCAAAUUACCUGUUUUCUGUAUGUUCCUCUGACAACAACUGCCACAGAGUAAAUAUGAAAGGUUCUGGAUGAUUCCUUGUCAGCUUUUAUUAAAAUUCCACAUACUUGGCAU
rnacentral:lncRNA from 1 species